AACGCUGGCGGCGUGCUUAACACAUGCAAGUCGAACGAGAACGGAUUAUAGCUUGCUAUAAUUGUCAGCUAAGUGGCGCACGGGUGAGUAAUAUAUAGGUAACGUGCCCCAAAGAAGAGGAUAACAGAUGGAAACGCCUGCUAAGACUCUAUAUGCCUUUAUGACAUAAGUCAGCAAGGGAAAUAUUUAUAGCUUUGGGAUCGGCCUGUACAGUAUCAGUUAGUUGGUGAGGUAAUGGCUCACCAAGACAAUGACGCUUAACUGGUUUGAGAGGAUGAUCAGUCACACUGGAACUGAGACACGGUCCAGACUCCUACGGGAGGCAGCAGUGGGGAAUAUUGCACAAUGGACGAAAGUCUGAUGCAGCAACGCCGCGUGGAGGAUGACACAUUUCGGUGCGUAAACUCCUUUUAUAUAGGAAGAUAAUGACGGUACUAUAUGAAUAAGCACCGGCUAACUCCGUG
rnacentral:rRNA from 1 species